GACGAACGCUGGCGGCGUGCCUAAUACAUGCAAGUCGAACGGAAAGGCCCUGCUUUUGUGUGCUGCUCGAGUGGCGAACGGGUGAGUAACACGUGAGUAACCUGCCCUGGACUUGGGGAUAACUUCUGGAAACUAGGGCUAAUACCGCAUAGGAGCACCUGUUGCAUGGCGGGGGUUUGAAAGGUGCGGCGGUUCGGGUUGGACUCGGGGCUUCUCAGCUUGUGGGUGAGGUAGUGGUUAAGCAAGGCCUUGGCGGGUAGCCGUCCUGGGAGGGUGACCGGGCCCAGUGGGCCACGGGAAGGGGCAGGAGUGCUACUGGGGGCAUGGGCGGAAGUCAUAGCGAGCUAGGCGGAGGGAUGAUAGAAGAACGCCGGGUGGGGGAUGACUGCCUUAGGGUUGUAAACAGCUUUAGCGUGUAACGAAGAGUGAGUGACGGUAAUGGACAAAGAAGCACCGGCUAACUACGUG
rnacentral:rRNA from 1 species